AACGCACCUUGCGCUCCUUGGUAUUCCGAGGAGCAUGCCUGUUUGAGUGUCAUUAAAUUCUCAACUUCAUCACUUGUGUUGAAGCUUGGAUGUGGGGGUUGUGCAGAACGCGUAACGGUGGUCUGCUCCCCUUAAAUGAAUUAGCGAGUUCAAACUGAGCUCUGUCUAUUGGUGUGAUAAUUAUCUACGCCGUGGAUUGGAUUGGACUUAGACUUGCUUCUAAUCGUCUGCAAGGACAAUACUUUGACAAUUUGACCUCAAAUCAGGUAGGACUACCCGCUGAACUUAA
rnacentral:misc_RNA from 1 species